UACAGAGGUGGCAAGCGUUGUUCGGAAUUACUGGGCGUAAAGGGCGCGUAGGCGGUCCGAUAAGUCCUGUGUGAAAUCCCUCGGCUCAACUGAGGAACUGCACGGGAGACUGCCGGGCUGAGUUCGGGAGAGGGAAGCGGAAUUCCGGGUGGUAGCGGUGAAAUGCGUAGAUAUCCGGAGGAACACCGGUGGCGAAGGCGGCUUCCUGGACCGACACUGACGCUGAGGCGCGAAAGCUAGGGGAGCAAACGGG
rnacentral:rRNA from 1 species